GCACUUAUCGUCUAACGGUAGGACAUUGCCUUUUCGGGGCAAGAGCAUGGGUUCGACACCCAUUAAGUGCGCCA
rnacentral:tRNA from 1 species